rnacentral:rRNA from 1 species
UGGCUCAGAUUGAACGCUGGCGGCAGGCUUAACACAUGCAAGUCGAACGGUAACAUAAAGAAGCUUGCUUCUUUGAUGACGAGUGGCGGACGGGUGAGUAAUGCUUGGGAAUCUAGCUUAUGGAGGGGGAUAACUACGGGAAACUGUAGCUAAUACCGCGUAAUAUCGAAAGAUUAAAGUGUGGGACCUUCGGGCCACAUGCCAUAGGAUGAGCCCAAGUGGGAUUAGGUAGUUGGUGAGGUAAAGGCUCACCAAGCCGACGAUCUCUAGCUGGUCUGAGAGGAUGACCAGCCACACUGGGACUGAGACACGGCCCAGACUCCUACGGGAGGCAGCAGUGGGGAAUAUUGCGCAAUGGGGGCAACCCUGACCGAGCAACGCCGCGUGAGUGAAGAAGGUUUUCGGAUCGUAAAGCUCUGUUGUAAGUCAAGAACGAGUGUGAGAGUGGAAAGUUCACACUGUGACGGUAGCUUACCAGAAAGGGACGGCUAACUACGUGCCAGCAGCCGCGGUAAUACGUAGGUCCCGAGCGUUGUCCGGGAUUUAUUGGGCGUAAAGCGAGCGCAGGCGGUUUGAUAAGUCUGAAGUUAAAGGCUGUGGCUCAACCAUAGUUCGCUUUGGAAAACUGUCAAACUUGAGUGCAGAAGGGGAGAGUGGAAUUCCAUGUGUAGCGGUGAAAUGCGUAAAUAAUAUGGAAGGAACACCGUGCCAAGAAUAGUUCACUGGACGGUUACUGACGCCUGAAGUUGCGAAGCCGGGGAACAAACAAGGAUUAGAUAUCCC